rnacentral:tRNA from 1 species
AUCUAAAUAGUUUAAUUAAAAUGUUGAUUUGUGGUGUCAAAGAUAUAGAUAAAAUUUAUUUUAGAUC